ACCCUCGAUUAUAAGAAAAAAAAUGCGUGGAAAAAGGACCUGAUACAUAUGCGAUUGAAGAGAAAAUGUUUUGGAAAAUUUUGGAAUAAAAAAAGAGACGGGAGCGAUCAUAUACCAGAUCGAAGGAGAGUAACAGAAUGUUAGAAUAAUCUUGUAAUAAAAAUGGAUUUUUUUUUUGACAAAAUAAAAUGGAUGUUUUGCUUUUCAUUAUUUUAUUUGGUCAAUGUUAUACAUAUUAUCUAGCCUUAUAUUUGGUAAAAUGAUGGGAUACAUGUCAUCUUUGUAGGUUUAGCCGAUCUUUUUUUUCUUAUAUAAAAAGACCAGGAGGACGCUCUUGGAGAUAAAUGAAACGGAAGUGAAUAUCUGUCAUCAAUUUUAAUGUAUAUAAUUUUAUCUUUUUAA